AAGCGGGAAACUUGCCUCAAGAUGAGAUCUCACUGGGAACUUGAUUCCCCUGAAGGGCCGUCGAAGACUACGACGUUGAUAGGCUGGGUGUGUAAGCGUUGUGAGGCGUUGAGCUAACCAGUACUAAUUGCCCGUGAGGCUUGACCAUAUAACACCCAAACA
rnacentral:rRNA from 1 species